ACAUAAGUUACUAACAAAAAUUUUAAUAAAAAAGGAUAGAAAUAUAUAUCUUUCCACAUAAUACAAAAUUGGCUCGGUUUGUCGUUCAUUGUACCAACUCUCCCAAUAAAGGAACACUAGAGUCCGCAAAAUGUUGCUAUGACGAUUUUAAGUACUUGUCCUUUAAAAUGACAUUUUGCGGAGUCAAAGCAGUUCCCAAAGUAACCAUUUUAGAGAGAGUGUACUAAAAAAGCUUUUUUUUAAUUCUUUCUCUUUUUUAUAAAUUGUUUAUUUUAUGUUGACCUCAAAGUUCAGAUAAUAGAUAAGCCGAGUCAUUGGCGGGAAAACGUCCGAAUGGUCGCCAUUUGCUUGUGCAAGUAACUGUUAGAAACGGUGUUUGUGGCCUUGUGUGGAUCUGUUCGCCCUCGUGAUACAGUACUUGAGAUUAUGGGAAAUGUCUAGACCAAAGGGAGCAGGGAGCGACUCGCGGAGUGAUAUGAAGUACCAACGGGGUAGUGGGACGCUAUCCCGGGGAGCCGAAGGAAGAACAGCCCAGAGGCAGAGAGAAUUAGGCAGUGAAACAUCCUGACGUGUUAAUUAUUAAAUUGAAUAAAUCUUGAUUUGAGCGUUGUGAUUUUAUUUAAACUCAGCAUAAUGAAGUUUCUAACAUCAGAAGUGGGAUAGUACGCGAUAUAAAAACCCAAUCUGGCCGAGUGUUAGUGUUAAAGCCACAAAAAGUUUAAAAGUAAAAGUGAUUCCUGUAAAUGGGCAAAAGGAGCGACAAUAACAUCGAUCAUGGAUCUCGUUGACCGAUGACCGGAAAGGGACAUCCGAACUGCGACCGACGUCUGAGCCGACGUUAUUAUCAUUGGUCGACUUCACGGGCGUAAGAACCAUGGAGGAGAGGUUCAAGACGCCGUGACGUAGAGGACGCACAUUCGAGUACGAGUCCGAGUACGGGAUGACGGACGGCCUUGUAGGAACGAAGUCACAAAACCGAACUUUUACCGAGGAUGGGACAAGUUGGCACAGGGUGCAGGCCACGAUAGGUAAAAUGUAAAAUGACAAAAGAAACCAACUGUACGCUGACAAAUAAAAAUUCCAUUGAAUCUGACGCCACGCACUUCCCCGAAAAAAAAAAACGUAUCGAAUUGCGUAGUCGAAGGGUCGUUCUCAGAAUUGACAGAUUUCGCUCGUAAAACACUGUUAAGAGAAUAAAAAUAAUUUUAAAAUAAUUUAUAAGCAUGGUACCAAGAAGUCUUCAUAGUAAUGUAAUAGGUAAUUAAGUUCAUUCCAAGACAUAUCAAUCAUUAUUCCAAGUGCGACCGUAUGUAUCAGUUAUCUUAAUGUAGAGUUGGGGCGUAUUUAGUUUUCUGUAACCCACCCUGUCAACACUGCGGUUAUCUAGUGUUUAUCAUAGCAGUUUUAACUUGGGGAUGUGCAUCUUUGUGGGUAAGUUGAGAAAUGAUCUGACAAAAUAAAUCGGUGGUUUGAAAUCUGAGACUUAUUCUAAAUAAUUUAAAAAUCGAUUUUAAAUUUUAAGAAUAAUGAAGAAUAAAACCUGGUUGAUUCUUGAUUAAUUUUCAGUACUAAAAAAAUUAAUCUAAGGUAAUUAAUGUUUUGGUAAGCAGAUAGUUUCUCCAACAAGGUGGAACAGGUACCGAGAAGCGGUGGGGAUGUGCGAAAAAUAUGAAACUGUUGCGGUACAUUGCUGGCAAGUGUAUGAGGUCAAGUGGUUAAAACUUGGAGGCGAUAUUUUAAUUUGCGGCUAAGGGGUGCACUGAAAAUUGCAAAUGAUUGUUUUGAAAUGGGCCUCUGAGAUGGCAAGAUUAACACGAUUAUGCGGAAAUAUUUACCGAAUAACGUAUGACGGUGUGCGCCUAUUUAUAAGUAUGUAAGUAAGUAUCUGCGCCUAUGAUAAAAGUAUCAGUUCAUGUGGUUUCAAAAGAGGCAAUGACGAUUAGGUCAUUUACGAUUAUGAAAAAAAUAUAUAAGAUUUACUUGAGGUCGAGCUGAGGUAUAAUAUUGGUCCCCAAAGAUGCGCCAAUUGUUAGAAUUGGGUAAUUCUAAUUUAAGACAAAAAAAAAAUGGACGCUCCAAAAAAAAAUGCAAAUGUUGUCUUAAAAAGGCUAAAAAAAAGAUACAGAAAAUAAAAAGGUAAAAAAAAAAGUUCGACGCCCGACCGCCGACAACAAACCAUCACCGAUUGAGGAGCAAUUAGAAAAUUUUAGACGAAUGAAAUCCGAAGUACUCAUCAUUUUGAAUGCUGUAGCUACACCACGCGUUCAUAGAUGGAUCGAUCAGCAGAAAGUCGAUGUUGGAACGACAACAUUCCCAAUUCGCAAUUAGACAUCAAUGAAAGUGAAUGCCUUUGAAGAUUCAUUCAGGGAGGUUUUAAUGAAGUUCGUGCUGCCGUCGACGGGUUGUUCAUCACUUCACCAGAAACCUCUAGACAUCGGGACUUCUCGUCGCUAUUCUUCAUUCCGCGACUGAUCUUCAGUACCACCCCGGAAUAUCGCGCGAAUUUGCUGGUACCACAAUAUUCGCUUCCAUUUCUUCUUGUCAUGACUCGCCAAUGCCAACGCCAAAACCACUUGGAAGUGCAGGAGGAGAUCUUUGGAUUCAGAGUUAUAUUCACCAGUGCAGCCGUUCUCGAGAUCACGAGAUUCUGGAUCCAAGUUGGAGUCAGGUAUUUAGAAGAAUGCUAAUUACAAAAUACUGCGGGUGGCGCAUAGACCUGUGUCUUUAUUUUGCUUUAGUUUUAGUUUAAAAGGAGGAGCACUGCGGGAGUGGAUAAACGUAAUAACUCCUGUGUCUUUGCUCUAUCCAUAAAGGUUUAUCACAAUUCAGAAAUUAGAAAUUCUAGCUCCUGUGUCUUUGCUUCAGCAUUGCGGGAGGUUAAACAGAAGUACCAUUCCUGUGUCUUUGCUGAUAUGCAUUGCGGGAGGCUAAAUAAAAGUACUACUCCUGUGUCUUUGCUAAAAUGCAUUGCGGGAGUUGGAAUAUGGGCACCACUCCUGUGCCUUUGCUAAGAUGCACUGCGGGAAGUGAGGUUUGCCCAAGCGUACGGGGCCCCAAAUUGAAGUAAGUUGCGGACUAAAGCGCUUAGUUUUAAGUUGCGUACGUUAGACUUAGAAUGCGGAUCACUGUGUCUAGUUUUAAGUAUCCACGCAUUACUUUUUAUUUUUAUUUCUUUAAUUCUUACUUUAUUUUGCGGAUUCUUGUUUAUGUUUUUCGUAUGCUUUAGUGAUUUUGUUUACAUUGUUUUUAUUAUUCUUACGCAUUCUAUUUAGCGGUUUUUGUAUAUGUCGUUUUUAUUGUUUUAUUUUAUUUUGUUGAUCCCUGUUCCCUGUUAUGAAUAAUGGUUUUGUGUUAUUCUUUUAUAUUUCUCAUUUUUAGGUGAUAUAAAAAAAUUUUUACUGGAAUCUCGGAAUACUUUUCCUUAUUGUUCUAAAGUUUAUAAAUACACUGAGAUAUUGUCGUUUAAAUGUCCUAAAUAUUGGUUGAGUUUUAGGCACGAAUUGAUUAUAAGUUCAGAUAGAGUGAGGACACUCUGGAUGUCAGGAAAGGCCGUGUUAGAAACGGUGUUUGUGGCCUUGUGUGGAUCUGUUCGCUCUCGUGAUACAGUACUUGAGAUUAUGGGAAAUGUCUAGACCAAAGGGAGCAGGGAGCGACUCGCGGAGUGAUAUGAAGUACCAACGGGGUAGUGGGACGCUAUCCCGGGGAGCCGAAGGAAGAACAGCCUAGAGGCAGAGAGAAUUAGGCAGUGAAACAGUCCUGACGUGUUAAUUAUUAAAUUGAAUAAAUCUUGAUUUGAG